rnacentral:rRNA from 1 species
AGAGUUUGAUCAUGAGCUCAGAACGAACGCUGGCGGCGUGGAUAAGACACUGCUAAGUCGAACGCUGAUCACACUGCAGCAAUGUAGUGUGGUCGGAGUGGCGCAAGGGUGCGUAACACGUGGGUAAUCUGCCGUGAAGUUGGGGAUAACUUGCUGAAAGGCGAGCUACAUACCGAAUGUGGUUAUUGGGAGGCAUCUUCUGAUAACUGAAGUUGAGGACCGUAAGGCCUGACGCUUCACGAUGAGCCCGCGGCCUAUCAGCUAGUUGGUGAGGUAACGGCUCACCAAGGCUAAGACGGGUAGCUGGUCUGAGAGGACGACCAGUCACACUGGAACUGAAAGACGGUCCAGACACCUACGGGUGGCAGCAGUCGAGAAUUUUUCUCAAUGGGCGAAAGCCUGAAGGAGCGACGCCGCGUGGGGGAUGAAUGGCUUCGGCCCGUAAACCCCUGUCAUUUGCGAACAAAGUGCACUAUUUAAAAGAUGGUGUAUUGAUAGUAGCGGAAGAGGAAGGGACGGCUAACUCUGUGCUAGCCGCCGCGGUAAUAC